CAGCGCGCUGCCGCGCCGGCCGUCGGGCCGCAUCCAGCGCGGCGCGGCCGACGCGCUGUUCGCCACGGUGCGCACCGA
rnacentral:tRNA from 1 species